GACGAACGCUGGCGGCGUGCCUAACACAUGCAAGUCGAACGGGACCCGCAAGGGUUCGAGUGGCGAACGGGUGCGUAACACGUGAAGAAUCUGUCUAUCGGCGGGGGAUAGCCGGCCCAACGGCCGGGUAAUACCGCGUACGCUCGCGAGGGGCAUCCCCAUGCGAGGAAAGCAGCAAUGCACCGAUAGAGGACUUCGCGGCCUAUCAGCUAGUUGGCGGGGUAAUGGCCCACCAAGGCAACGACGGUAGCUGGUCUGAGAGGAUGACCAGCCACAUUGGGACUGAGACACGGCCCAGACUCCUACGGGAGGCAGCAGUGGGGAAUAUUGCGCAAUGGGGGAAACCCUGACGCAGCGACGCCGCGUGUGGGAUGAC
rnacentral:rRNA from 1 species